rnacentral:tRNA from 1 species
UAUAUUCUAGUGUAUGAUGCACGAGAGUUUUUGAUACUCUUAGUAACAGUUUAAUUCUGUUGAAUAUAA